GCCUGGGUGGCUCAGUUGGUUGGGCGUCUGACUUCGGCUCAGGUCAUGAUCUCACGGUCUGUGAGUUCGAGCCCCGCGUCGGGCU
rnacentral:tRNA from 1 species